rfam:Clostridium acetireducens DSM 10703 CLAC_contig000008, whole genome shotgun sequence.
UGGGUAGUAUCAGAAAUGAACUGCACCAGUUUGUAUUUGUGUGUUUUUUUUAUUCUGCUCAUAUUAGAAAUAAAUGAGACAGAUUU